rnacentral:rRNA from 1 species
AGAGUUUGAUCCUGGCUCAGAACGAACGCUGGCGGCGUGCCUAAUACAUGCAAGUCGAGCGAUCCUAUUUACUUAGGAGAGCGGCGAACGGGUGAGUAACACGUUGGAACCUACCCCUUAGUGAGGGAUAACUCCGAGAAAUCGGAGCUAAUACCGCAUAAUCCCGCAAGGGUAAAGUCGCAAGACGCUAAGGGAGGGGCCUGCGGCCUAUCAGCUAGUUGGUGAGGUAAUGACUCACCAAGGCUAUGACGGGUAGCUGGUCUGAGAGGAUGAUCAGCCACAAGGGAACUGAGACACGGUCCCUACUCCUACGGGAGGCAGCAGUAAGGAAUAUUCCGCAAUGACCGAAAGGUUGACGGAGCAACGCCGCGUGUGGGAUGACACCCGAAAGGGCGUAAACCACUUUUCUGAGGGAGCAAAUUUUGAGUUAACUUCAGGAAUAAGUACCGGCUAACUACGUGCCAGCAGCAGCGGUAAUACGUAGGGUGCAAGCGUUACCCGGAAUUAUUGGGCGUAAAGCGUCCGUAGGCGGUUUUUUAAGUCUGGUGUAAAAGUUCGGAGCCUAACUCCGAGAUCGUACUGGAAACUGAAAGACUAGAGAUAUGCAGAGGCUAGUGGAAUGCGAUGUGUAGGGGUAAAAUCCGUUGAUAUAUCGUAGAACACCAAAAGCGAAGGCAGCUAGCUGGGCAUAUUCUGACGCUGAGGGACGAAAGCGUGGGGAGCAAACAGGAUUAGAUACCCUGGUAGUCCACGCCGUAAACUAUGGAUACUCGGUGUUUUCAUUUUUUGGAAGUGCCUAAGGUAACCCGUUAAGUAUCCUCGCCUGGGGACUACGAGCGCAAGCUUAAAACUCAAA